rnacentral:tRNA from 1 species
GCCGGGAUGGCGGAAUCGGCAGACGCGACGGAUUCAAAAUCCGUUUCCCUCACGGGAGUAAGGGUUCGACCCCCUUUCUCGGCACCA